GCUGAAGCCGCCGACCUCCCUUCUUGUUCGGUGGAAGUGCACGAACGGCCGGUGUUCGGUAGUUUUGUUUGAAUGUGUUAUACCCCAGAUAGGAAUCCCAUGAAGCCCAUUCGUAUGAAACUGACCGUAAAGACUUUGGCUCCAUGGCGAUUAAACUGUAUUCGUGUGGUCUGAGCGCCAUUCGCUUAAUAAUGUGCGCUCAGACCUGAGCUAUCU